UAUUUUUAAAUAGAAUAAUUAGAGCAGGGGUGACUGCGUACCUUUUGUAUAAUGGGUCAGCGACUUACAUUCAGUAGCGAGCUUAACUGAGUAAGGUAGGCGUAGCGAAAGCGAGUCUUAAUAGGGCGAAAGUUGCUGGGUGUAGACCCGAAACCAGAUGAUCUACUCAUGGCCAGGAUGAAGCGAAGGUAACACUUCUUGGAGGUCCGAACCCACUAAUGUUGAAAAAUUAGGGGAUGAGCUGUGAGUAGGGGUGAAAGGCUAAACAAAUCUGGAGAUAGCUGGUUCUCUCCGAAAACUAUUUAGGUAGUGCCUCAUAUGUCACCUUUAGGGGUAGAGCUCUGUUAUGGCUAGGGGAUCAAUAUGAUUUACCAAACCAUUGCAAACUUCGAAUACUAAAGAGUGCAAGUAUGGGAGACAGACAUUGGGUGCUAACGUCCAGUGUCGAAAGGGAAACAACCCAGACCCUCAGCUAAGGUCCCAAAGAUACAAUUAAGUGGUAAACGAAGUGGGAAGGCAUAGACAGUCAGGAGGUUGGCUUAGAAGCAGCCAUUCUUUAAAGAAAGCGUAAUAGCUCACUGAUCGAGUUUUUCUGCGCGGAAGAUGUAACGGGGCUAAAUUGUACACCGAAGCUAGGGAUUCAUAUUAUUAUGGAUGGUAGGAGAGCGUUCCGUAGGCCUGAGAAGAUGAUUCGGGAGAAUUGUUGGAGGUAUCGGAAGUGCGAAUGCUGACAUGAGUAGCGAUAAAGGAAGUGAAAAACUUCCUCGCCGAAAACCCAAGGUUUCCUGUUCAACGUUCAUCGGAGCAGGGUGAGUCGGCUCCUAAGGUGAGGCAAUUUGCGUAGCUGAUGGAAAACUGGUUAAUAUUCCAGUACCUUUAUUUAAUGCGAUGUGGGGACGAAGAAGGUUAGCUCAGCCAGGUGUUGGAUGUCCUGGUUAAAGCGUGUAGAUGUGCUAUUUAGGUAAAUCCGGAUAGAUAAAUUGAGGCGUGAUAACGAAGCACAGUUAUCUGUGUUAAGUGAGUAAUACCAAGCUUCCAAGAAAAGCCACUAAGCUUCAGUUAAAUAAAGACCGUACCGCAAACCGACACAGGUGGGUAGGAUGAGAAUUCUAAGGCGCUUGAGAGAACCCGGGAGAAGGAACUCGGCAAAUUGGCACCGUAACUUCGGGAGAAGGUGCGCCCCGGUAGCGUGAAGAGAUUUACUCUUGGAGCGUGAUGGGGUUGCAGUGAAAAGGUGGCUGCGACUGUUUAAUAAAAACACAGCACUCUGCAAACACGAAAGUGGACGUAUAGGGUGUGACGCCUGCCCGGUGCCGGAAGGUUAAUUGAUGGGGUGCAAGCUCUUGAUCGAAGCCCCGGUAAACGGCGGCCGUAACUAUAACGGUCCUAAGGUAGCGAAAUUCCUUGUCGGGUAAGUUCCGACCCGCACGAAUGGCGUAACGAUGGCCACACUGUCUCCACCCGAGACUCAGCGAAGUUGAAAUGUUUGUGAAGAUGCAAUCUCCCCGCUGCUAGACGGAAAGACCCCGUGCACCUUUACUGUAGCUUUACAUUGGACUUUGAACAGACUUGUGUAGGAUAGCUGGGAGGCUUUGAAGUGGGGACGCUAGUUCUCAUGGAGCCGACGUUGAAAUACCAGCCUGGUGUGUUUGAGGUUCUAACCUAGGUCCAUGAUCUGGAUCGGGGACAGUGUAUGGUAGGCAGUUUGACUGGGGCGGUCUCCUCCCAAAGUGUAACGGAGGAGCUCGAAGGUAUCCUAGGUACGGUCGGAAAUCGUACUGAUAGUGCAAUGGCAUAAGGAUGCUUAACUGCGAGACUGACAAGUCGAGCAGGUGCGAAAGCAGGACAUAGUGAUCCGGUGGUUCUGUAUGGAAGGGCCAUCGCUCAACGGAUAAAAGGUACGCCGGGGAUAACAGGCUGAUUCCUCCCAAGAGUUCACAUCGACGGGGGAGUUUGGCACCUCGAUGUCGGCUCAUCACAUCCUGGGGCUGUAGCCGGUCCCAAGGGUAUGGCUGUUCGCCAUUUAAAGUGGUACGUGAGCUGGGUUUAAAACGUCGUGAGACAGU
rnacentral:rRNA from 1 species